UGCCUUGUGGUGUAAUGGUAGCACACCGGAUUCUGGUUCCGUUUGUGAGAGUUCGAGUCUUUCCUAGGGGU
rnacentral:tRNA from 1 species